rnacentral:rRNA from 1 species
GACGAACGCUGGCGGCGUGCCUAAUACAUGCAAGUUGAGCGCUGAAGGUUGGUACUUGUACCAACUGGAUGAGCAGCGCACGGGUGAGAACGCGUGGGGAAUCUGCCUUUGAGCGGGGGACAACAUUUGGAAACGAAUGCUAAUACCGCAUAAAAACUUUAAACACAAGUUUUAAGUUUGAAAGAUGCAAUUGCAUCACUCAAAGAUGAUCCCGCGUUGUAUUAGCUAGUUGGUGAGGUAAAGGCUCACCAAGGCGAUGAUACAUAGCCGACCUGAGAGGGUGAUCGGCCACAUUGGGACUGAGACACGGCCCAAACUCCUACGGGAGGCAGCAGUAGGGAAUCUUCGGCAAUAGACGAAAGUCUGACCGAGCAACGCCGCGUGAGUGAAGAAGGUUUUCGGAUCGUAAAACUCUGUUGGUAGAGAAGAACGUUGGUGAGAGUGGAAAGCUCAUCAAGUGACGGUAACUACCCAGAAAGGGACGGCUAACUACGUG